GAUGAACGCUGGCGGCGUGCCUAAUACAUGCAAGUCGAGCGAACAGACGAGGAGCUUGCUCCUCUGACGUUAGCGGCGGACGGGUGAGUAACACGUGUAUAACCUACCUAUCAGACUUGGAUAACUUCGGGAAACCGUAGCUAAUACCGGAUAAUAUAUUUAACCGCAUGGUUCAAUAGUGAAAGGCGGUUUUGCUGUCACUUAUAGAUGGAUCCGCGCCGCAUUAGCUAGUUGGUAAGGUAACGGCUUACCAAGGCAACGAUGCGUAGCCGACCUGAGAGGGUGAUCGGCCACACUGGAACUGAGACACGGACCAGACUCCUACGGGAGGCAGCAGUAGGGAAUAUUACGCAAUGGGCGAAAGCAUGACGGAGCAACGCCGCGUGAGUGAUGAAGGUCUUCGGAUCGUAAAACUCUGUUAUUAGGGAAGAACAAAUGUGGAAGUAACUAUGCACGUAUUGACGGUACCUAAUCAGAAAGCAACGGCUAACUACGUG
rnacentral:rRNA from 1 species